UACGUAGGGGGCUAGCGUUGUCCGGAAUCAUUGGGCGUAAAGCGCGUGUAGGCGGUUCGGUAAGUCCGCUGUGAAAGUCGGGGGCUCAACCCUCGGAUGCCGGUGGAUACUGUCGGACUAGAGUACGGAAGAGGCGAGUGGAAUUCCUGGUGUAGCGGUGAAAUGCGCAGAUAUCAGGAGGAACACCAAUGGCGAAGGCAGCUCGCUGGGACGGUACUGACACUGAGACGCGAAAGCGUGGGGAGCAAACAGG
rnacentral:rRNA from 1 species